ACGGGUGCGUAACACGUGAGGAACAUGACCUUCGGCGGGGGAUAGCCGGCCCAACGGCCGGGUAAUACCGCGUACGACCAUUUGGGGACAUCCCCGAGUGGUGAAAGCAGCAAUGCGCCGAUGGAGUGCCUCGCGGCCUAUCAGCUAGUUGGUGAGGUAACGGCUCACCAAGGCAACGACGGGUAGCUGGUCUGAGAGGAUGGCCAGCCACAUUGGGACUGAGACACGGCCCAGACUCCUACGGGAGGCAGCAGUGGGGAAUGUUGCGCAAUGGACGAAAGUCUGACGCAGCGACGCCGCGUGUGGGAUGACGGUCUUCGGAUUGUAAACCACUGUCGGGAGGGACGAAUACGCCGCAAGGCGGGUGACGGUACCUCCAAAGGAAGCACCGGCUAACUCCGUGCCAGCAGCCGCGGUAAUACGGAGGGUGCGAGCGUUGUCCGGAAUCACUGGGCGUAAAGGGCGCGUAGGCGGCCUGAUAAGUAGGGGGUGAAAUCCUGCGGCUUAACCGCAGGGCUGCCUUCUAAACUGUCAGGCUUGAGCACAGUAGAGGCAGGUGGAAUUCCCGGUGUAGCGGUGGAAUGCGUAGA
rnacentral:rRNA from 1 species